UACCCUUGAGACGGGGAUAACAUUGCGAAAGCGAUGCUAAUACCCGGUAAGGUCCGGUCUGCUUUGGCAGGUCGGAUGAAAGAUGGCCUCUUCUAGAAAGCCAUUGUUUGGGGAUGAGCCCGCGUACCAUUAGCUUGUUGGUGGGGUAAAGGCCUACCAAGGCGAUGAUGGUUAGCUGGUCUGAGAGGAUGAUCAGCCACACUGGAACUGACACACGGUCCAGACUCCUACGGGAGGCGGCAGUGAGGAAUUUUGCGCAAUGGGGGCAACCCUGACGUAGCAACGCCGCGUGAGUGAAGAAGGCUUUUGGGUCGUAAAGCUCUGUCAUGUGGGAAGAAAUGCCGACAAGUUAAGAUCUUGUUGGUUUGACGGUACCACAGAAGGAAGCACCGGCUAACUCCGUGCCAGCAGCCGCGGUAAUACGGGGGGUGCAAGCGUUAUUCGGAAUUAUUGGGCGUAAAGGGCGCGUAGGCGGUUAUUCAAGUCAGCUGUGAAAGCCCGGGGCUCAACCCCGGAAGAGCAGUUGAAACUGGAUGACUUGAGUAUGGGAGAGGGAAGUGGAAUUCCUGGUGUAGAGGUGAAAUUCGUAGAUAUCAGGAGGAACACCGGAGGCGAAGGCGACUUCCUGGACCAAUACUGACGCUGAGGCGCGAAGGCGUGGGUAGCGAACAGGAUUAGAUACCCUGGUAGUCCACGCAGUAAACGAUGAUCACUAGGUGUAGCGGGGUAUUGACCCCUGCUGUGCCGGAGCUAACGCAUUAAGUGAUCCGCCUGGGGAGUACGAUCGCAAGAUUAAAACUCAAAGGAAUUGACGGGGGCCCGCACAAGCGGUGGAGCAUGUGGUUUAAUUCGACGCAACGCGAAGAACCUUACCUGGAUUUGACAUCCCGGGGAGCUUCUGGAAACAGGAGUGUGCCCUUCGGGGAACCCGGAGACAGGUGCUGCAUGGCUGUCGUCAGCUCGUGUCGUGAGAUGUUGGGUUAAGUCCCGCAACGAGCGCAACCCUUAUCUUAAGUUACCAUCAUUUGGUUGGGGACUCUUGAGAUACUGCCCCGGUUAACGGGGAGGAAGGUGGGGAUGACGUCAAGUCCUCAUGGCCCUUAUGUCCAGGGCUACACACGUGCUACAAUGACAUGUACAAAGGGCAGCGACCUCGCGAGAGUGAGCUAAUCCCAUAAAGCAUGCCUCAGUUCGGAUUGGAGUCUGCAACUCGACUCCAUGAAGUUGGAAUCGCUAGUAAUCGCGGAUCAGCAUGCCGCGGUGAAUACGUUCCCGGGCCUUGUACACACCGCCCGUCACACCAUGAGAGUUGACUGUACCAGAAGUUGUUGGGCUAACCCGCAAGGGAGGCAGGCACCUAAGGUAUGGUGAUAAUUAGGGUGA
rnacentral:rRNA from 1 species